GCCAGAGGGAGAUGGGACAUGCAUACACAGAGGAGAAAGCGACGUGAAGACAGAGGCAGAGAAUGGAGGGAUGUGACCACUAGCCGAGGAGGCCAGAGAUUACCAGCUGCCGUAGAUGACCAGCUUCCGGAAACAGGAAGAGGUGAAGAUGGCUUCUCCCCCCGAGACUUCGGCAGGAGUGUGGCCCUGCCGACAUCUUCCCCACUAGGUCGUGGGUGGGGUGGGGUGGGGUGGAAAAUCCAAAUCCGUAGCACAAGCUACAAAUUCAGGUGUCUCUCAAAUGAACAAUUUUGUGCAAGUCAAGCAUUCCCUGGAGUGGCCACUGAAAGUCCAAACGAUCCUUGGCAAAGUUAGGCCAUUUGGAAAACAGGCACAAGGAUUUGGAUUCUAAUGAGAAUAAUCGGUCAGAGACAGGAGUUUUUCCUUGAGAAGGAGAGGACUUGGAGACCCCAUGGGAGCUGGCCGUGGUCUGUAGAAAGGUGAUGCUUUGACACCUUGUGUCUGUAGGACCUCAGCCUGAGAGUUGGCUGUCUUCAAAUGCAGACCUGACAAUUUGCACUCCCUGUGGAAAACCAGAGAGCAGACUCUCUCUGGACAAGGUAUUGAGAUGGAAGGAGACCCUUAUUCAGCUUUACUGGUCACCCACAGCAGUUUGUCUGAAUGGAUUCUGGUGCAGUGAGAACCGCAAACUCACCAGUCUAUGAGGCUGGCUUGACCUACAACCUACAGGGGGCCUCUGUCUGUGUUCUGCCCUGUGAUUCUCCAUCUGGUGACCAAGAGUUUUGACAGAACAGCACCAAAUGGAAACACAAAAGAGAGGAAAGGCUCAAUUCCACCAAGAAUGCAAACAAAGGAGACCCAGUCAAAGAACCUGGGCACUAAACUGAUUUUGCCUAUUCUGAACAUUUCAUUAAAAUGGCAUCGGAUUGGCUUCUUUCACUUCACAUAGUACUUUAAAGGUCCAUCUGUGUUUGGGUGUGUUUCGGUACUUCACUCCUUUUAUGGCUGAACAGCAAUUCACUGUUUAAAGAUACGGAUUUGAAGUCUUUUCUGGUAAGUUCAUUAGCUGGGGUUCCUCUAAGGUAGUUGCUAUUGAUUACCUUUUUUCCUAUGGAUGGGUCCAACUUUCUCAUUUCUUUGUGCCUCUCAUAGUGUUUUUGUUGAAAGCUGUACUUUUAAAAUAAUACAAUAUGGCAGGUCUGGAAAUUGGAUUCUGUCCCCAUCCCCCAUGUCAGUUUUUGUCGUUGUUUGUCAUAGAUGCUGUUGUUUGCUUAAUGACCUUUCUGAACAAAUUGGGGAAAGUCUGUAUUCUUGAUUGUGUAUGGCCACUGGAGUCUCCGUGUGGUUAGGUUAAGUGGUCAGCCAGU